rnacentral:lncRNA from 1 species
GUGGUACAACGUCUGAUAUGUCCGAAUGACACGGCUGUUCCUCUUUCUGCACUAUUUCAGGUUGCAAUGGCUGUGGUUGAGGUUGUUCUCCUUGCCAGUUCCAAACAAUGUCCUUAAGCGCAGGCCUAACGUCUUGUUUCAAAAGCUUCUGGUACUCCAAUGUAUCUCCACUAGACUUCUUUAACUCCACUAGAUGGAAGACUGGUGUGAUCUCAAAAAUCUCUGCAUCAAUACCCAAAGGCCCUUU